rnacentral:rRNA from 1 species
ACGGGGUCUAAUACCGGAUACUGAUCAUCUUGGGCAUCCAAGGUGUUCGAAAGCUCCGGCGGUGCAGGAUGAGCCCGCGGCCUAUCAGCUUGUUGGUGAGGUAGUGGCUCACCAAGGCGACGACGGGUAGCCGGCCUGAGAGGGCGACCGGCCACACUGGGACUGAGACACGGCCCAGACUCCUACGGGAGGCAGCAGUGGGGAAUAUUGCACAAUGGGCGAAAGCCUGAUGCAGCGACGCCGCGUGAGGGAUGACGGCCUUCGGGUUGUAAACCUCUUUCAGCAGGGAAGAAGCGAAAGUGACGGUACCUGCAGAAGAAGCGCCGGCUAACUACGUGCCAGCAGCCGCGGUAAUACGUAGGGCGCGAGCGUUGUCCGGAAUUAUUGGGCGUAAAGAGCUCGUAGGCGGCUUGUCACGUCGGUUGUGAAAGCCCGGGGCUUAACCCCGGGUCUGCAGUCGAUACGGGCAGGCUAGAGUUCGGUAGGGGAGAUCGGAAUUCCUGGUGUAGCGGUGAAAUGCGCAGAUAUCAGGAGGAACACCGGUGGCGAAGGCGGAUCUCUGGGCCGAUACUGACGCUGAGGAGCGAAAGCGUGGGGAGCGAACAGGAUUAGAUACCCUGGUAGUCCACGCCGUAAACGGUGGGCACUAGGUGUGGGCAACAUUCCACGUUGUCCGUGCCGCAGCUAACGCAUUAAGUGCCCCGCCUGGGGAGUACGGCCGCAAGGCUAAAACUC